UCUCCGUAGGUGAACCUGCGGAGGGAUCAUUACCGAGUGAGGGUUCCGGCCCGACCUCCAACCCUUUGUGAAUUCGACCCAGUUGCCUCGGGGGCGACCCGGCCUUCGGGCGGGGGCUCCGGGUGGACACUUCAAACUCUUGCGUAACUUUGCAGUCUGAGUAAACUUAAUUAAUAAAUUAAAACUUUUAACAACGGAUCUCUUGGUUCUGGCAUCGAUGAAGAACGCAGC
rnacentral:misc_RNA from 1 species